GAUCAUGGCUCAGAUUGAACGCUGGCGGCAGGCUUAACACAUGCAAGUCGAACGGUAGCAGGAGGAAGCUUGCUUUCUUGCUGACGAGUGGCGGACGGGUGAGUAAUGCUUGGGAAUCUGGCUUAUGGAGGGGGAUAACGACGGGAAACUGUCGCUAAUACCGCGUAGUAUCGGAAGAUGAAAGUGCGGGACUGUAAGGCCGCAUGCCAUGAGAUGAGCCUAAGUGGGA
rnacentral:rRNA from 1 species